rnacentral:lncRNA from 10 species
AGUUGAAUCAGGUGAAGACAGAGUUAAAAUCACAUAGGAUUUGCAUUUUUAAAAAAGGAAAGCACUAGGAUUGUUGGCACUGGAGUAACUAUUUACACUGAACAGAGGUUUGGCCUUUUACAUAACAUCGAUACAAUGCAUUUUCCAAAGUCUGAGAAAUAACAAGGUUCUGUCUCGAAUGCUUCACAGAGGAGGUUCGGAUUUGGGGACAAGUGUCAUUAAUGAGGGCCAUGGAAGUUCGUCAGCUUCAGAGUCACAUGCAAUCUGAUCCUGGGCGGUUCCGCUGCUGGGGAGCAGCUGGCUACGGAAUUGAAAGCUAAUGGGGAGGGGUGGGGCAGCCUCUGGGACAAGGCCUCUCUCCGCAGACCCGGGCCUUACAGGUUUUCACCAGGUUGGUACUGGGGCUCUGUCGCGGUAAAGUAGUCUUCCAGGAAGCUCUGCAAGUACUCAAAAGUGGGGCGUUCUUCAGGGUCCUUUUUCCAGCAGUGGAUCAUGAGCUCAUGCAGAGAGAUGGGGCAGUCCUGCGGGCAGGGCAUCCUGUAGCCUCGCUCCACCUGCUCCAGCACCUCCCGGUUGUUCAUGCCUGCAAAGACAAGCGCAGUGAGAGUGGGCACCCCGGGGAUCCAGGCCCUGACCGCCGCACUUGCAGAUCCCCUUUCUUCUUCUUUGCGUCUGCAUGUGGCUAAAACAUGCGGAGUACUCCCAUCCCCCCAGGAGUCAAACCCUGCCAUGCUACUCAGGAGUAAAGAAGGAGUGCAGAACUGAGACAUGAAAAAUUCAGAAUGACUCUCAAAACAUGAUAAGUGAAGGAAGCCAGACACAACAGGCAACAUACGGUAUGAUUUCAUUCAUGCGAAAUUCUAGAAAAGGCGCAACUACAUCUAUAGAAAGCAGAUCAGUGGCUGCCUGGGGGAGGGGAGGAAUCCCUGCCAAGGGGCCAGAGGGAACUCCAAGUGGGAUGGGAAUGUUCUGUCAGGGUCAACGGGUCAACAAACUUUUCCUGUAAAAGGCCAGACAGUAAAUAUUUUUGGCUUUGCGGGUCACAUAUGAUCCCUGUCUUCUUCUUUUUAACAACCCUUUAAAAACGUACAAAACAAACACAGGUUGGGAGCCAGACCUGCCAACCCCUGUUCUAUAUUAUGUAUGGGGUGGUGUGACUGUUUAUGUUUGUCAAAACUCAAUAAACUGCAUCCUUAAAAUUGUUGAAUUUUAUUGUGUGUAGAUUAUACUUCAAUUAAACUGACAACAAUAUAUGAAUAAAGCAGACAAAAAAAUCCACACAGAAUGAAAGCAUGCUGCCCCUUGUUUAUAGCAUUUAUAAACUCCAUUUAUGAACUUCAUAAAUUCGUUUUCUUCAUGCCUGGGCAAACUCUUAGUUCCCCACUGUUGGAGAUCUGCCAUCAUGCCAGCGUGGCUGGGCACUGUCUGGCCCUGCAACCCCACAGUGCCCUGAGGUUUGGUGAAUUUGAUGGGGAGAUAGACCAUGUCCGGGGCCUAUCUCUACUGAUGACUUCAGCCAGGCCAUCCAUCAUUUGAGGUUUUUCUGACUCUUGGGAAGCUGUUGAAACACUGGGCUGCAUAGCACUAACAGAAGACAGAUCGCUAACUCCUCAGAGAGUGCGGCCUCCUGCACACUGGCUGCCUUAACACUACAGGAACUACCAUGCUUAGGGGGUGGCCAGUGUCCUGACCUCCUCCCAACUACUGCCAGCCACUAUUCUCUAGUUUUGCUUCCCUUUUUCAUUGUAUCACCUUCUGCCAGCUCCCCGUCAAGCUGUGCUGUGCUUUGGUUGCUUCCUGGCCGGUGAGGCUGUCAUCUGGAAUCCUCCCCAGUAUCUGACCCGGUUAAUUUGCAGGAGCAAGAACCCGAUGUCAAGCCAUAUAGAAACCAAGAUUUCUUCCCCUAUUUCCCAGGGCUACAGCCAGCAGGAGCACACACCAUAUGCAUGGAGCUUCCUUUACUUCUAGGGGAGGUGGCGACCCGUUAGCUAGAAACUUGUCAGCACAGCCAGAGGCGCUGGGCCAGAGCACAGCCUGUCCCCCUGCAGAGGGAACACUCGGACUUCGGGGUCUGUUGCCAGUCCUCUUGGUUGUGUUGUUACUUGUGGAGCUGAGUGUAUCCUGGCUCCUCCUGGCUGUCAACCACAGCCUGUCAGUCACAUGUCUCUCCAGACCUUUUCAGGAUGCUUUCUUAUUCUCUGCCAUUAUCAUUUCUUGAGGUAAUAAAAAUUCACAUAUUGUUUCUGCUGUACUGAAGUAGGCCUUCAAUGCAAUUAUUGUAAAAUAACCUCACUCACGUGUCAGGGCGACCCCUUAUUUUAGGGAGAGAGGUUUGGUGAAGGAGUCAGGGUCCCUGCCUCUGUGCCAUGCAUGCCUUUACCAGCGACUUCCUCAGUUGCAUGGGAGGAGUGAGAGGCAGCGCUGUGGCUAAUUAGCCUACAUCCUCCUCCAAUGGCUGAAAAUGGGGGAUGGGGGCGGGGAGCUGGAAGCAAGGGAGGAACUGGAGCAUGCUCGGGAAUGAAAGGCAGCCUCCUCCGGCUCUAGAUAAACGCGGACAGAGGCCAGCAUUUCCUUCUCCACAAUUCCACCAUCCAACGAGCUCUGAACACCAUCAAGUUUUUGUAACUCACUUGACUACAGAACUGAUCUGAACUGACCUCAUCUGGCCACAAAACCUGAACUGAUUACGAGGCUAUUUACUGUUUUUAUUUCUUCAUACAUAUUGCCCAGAAAGAUUAGGAAGAGUGUGUAAUCACGUAGCAGAACUGGCACUCUCCAAAGCAUUUGCCUUGCCGCAUCUUUUAGUACUGUCCUUGGUUUCAUAUUUCAGCAAUGACAGAGCUUGGACCAGCAGAAAUCUCCCUUGUCUCUGUCCCUUCCAGGAGUCCACAGGAACUGAGGGGAAACAGGCAGAAGGGCCUGACAGAUCCUUCUGGGUGCGGUUACAGCCCCUGAAACGCCUCCUAAUGCUUGACUCUGGCUCUGAGUGCCUCCCUCCAAAAUGGCAGCACAGAGUUUAAUUAAUCACUCUCCUAUUGCUCCACAGAGCGCAUGUCAGUACAUGUUUCAUUUCAUUAAAAAACAAACUACUCAAAUGGAAAGAUUUCACUUAAAAAAAAAGUUUUCAUCCAAUGUCUGCCAAUGGAAAGUUUAAUUGGCCACUGGGUCAUUUUUCCAGUGCUCGGUCCAAGCCUCAGACACAGCACACUUGGUGAUGUGAACCUCAACAUGUAGCGUCUCCCGAGGCAGUCUUUCCUGGGCAUUUGGAGCCAGGGGACAGGGCAUAAGCUGGCCCAUGCAGGGUCCUGGCAGACCCACAUGGUCAGGCUCCUUCUCGCUCUCCCCUUUCCUGUCUGCACCCCUCCGCUCUUCCCCACUCCUCUUCUUCUCCUGCUUUCUUCUGCCCAGACCUCUCAAAGCAAGGGGAGUAUAUGAAAACAAUUCCACGCACUGGGCCAAGUGGAAACAUACCAAUGAGGGCUUUGCCAGGAAAGUGGGAUAUUUUGACAAUGCACUUGGCUGACAAUGACAAUUGGAAUGGGACUAGCUCUUUUCCAACCAUCCAUAAACCAGGACCUGCAACGGGCUGACCUGCAGACCUGGCAACUUCACAAUGUACCUCUGCAACAAUAACGGUGGCAAUCAAGAUAUGCCCACUCAGCAAGGCUUGGGCUAGUUUUUAUUUUAUAAACAAUAGCUAAAUUGAAUGGAUUGUGUUAAUUCAGGGUGAGUAUCCCUUCUCUGAAAUGCUUAUGAUCAGGAGUGUUUUAAAUUUCAGAUUUUUUAGGAUUUUGAAAUAUUUGCAUUAUAGGGCUGCUCAACCAGUAAGUUGAGCAUUCCCUUUGCGUGUUAUGUCAGUGCUCAAGAAGCUCCAGAUUUUGGUGCAUUUUGAAUUUCAUAUUUUUGGAUUAGGGAUACUUAACCUGUAUUUAAAAUACAGUAUUCUCAGCUAUAUGAAUUUUGAAAAUCAUGGUUUUUUUAAAUAAUUUUUUUUAAAUGGCUUUUACUCUGCACACUAACAAAAAGAUAGGUCUACUUCAUUUUUUUCUUCUUAGAUGGUUUCAUAUUUUUGUUAGAAAGAAAACUGUCAUUUCCUCUUUUUAGCCACUUUUCCCCAAGACAUUGGCUUUACCUAAUACCUGAGAGGUGAAGGAUAGUGAAUAGGAAGGGAAUAAACACGAGUUUGGGCACCAGGGCAGUUGGGAGAGUGUCUUGAGAGACAUGGGUACACUAGAGAGAGGAAUCCUUUUAUUUUUUAUUUAUUUAUUUUUUUUUGAGAUGAAGCGUGGCUCUGUCAUCUGGGGUGGAGUGCAGUGGUGUGAUCUCGGCUCACUGCAGCCUCCACCUCCCAGGUUCAAGCAAUUCUCCUGUCUCAGCCUCCUGAGUAGCUGGGACUACAGGUGCAUGCCACUACACCUGGCUAAUUUUUUAUAUUUUUAGUAGAGACAGGGUUUCACUAUGUUGGCCAGGCUGGUCUUGAAUUCUUGGCUUCAAGUGAUCUGCCCACCUCGGCCUCCCAAAGUGCUGGGAUUACAGGUGUGAGCCACCAUGCCCAGCCAGAAGAAUCUUUUUAUUACACUUCCAACUGAGGAGGUGGACAAGAGUGCUGGAAAUGUUUUUCCUUUUUCUCCUUUUUUUUUUUUUUUUUUUUUUUUGAGACAGAGUCUCGCUCUGUUGCCCAGGCUGGAGUGCAACUGAGAUUCUCCAGCCAAGAAGACUGUGCUCACUUCCUGCCAUUAUGAUUAUAUUAUCCUUUCUAAAUCAUGUUGCUGGCUUCCUCCAGCAAACUCAGAGGUCAAGUUUCCAACUCUCACUUUCAAACUCUGACUCUGUAGGGUUGCCAACAGUGUCUAUUCUUGUGUGUGUGUUUUCUUUUCCCUUUUCUUUUAAACUUCCCUAUUCCACUUCUUUGAGCUGUACAUGAACUCAGUAGUCUUCCCUUUUUCCUUUUAGAUUCUUUGAAAAAAAAUUUUUUAAGGGACAAGGUCUUGCUCUGUCACCCAGCCUGGAGUGCAGUGGCAUGAUCAUGGCUCACUGCAGCCUUGAACUCCUGGGCUCAAGCGAUCCUCCUCACACUUCAGUCUCCCAAGCAGCUAGGACUAUAGGUAUGCACCACCAUGCCUGGCUGAUUUUUAUUUUUAUUUAUUUUUUUUUUGUAGAGAUAGCAUCUUGCUAUGUUGCCCAGGCUGAUCUUGAACUUCUGGCCUCAAGCGAUCCUCCCUGCUUCAGCCUCCCAAAGCACUGGAAUUACAGCUGUGAGCCACUAUACCUGGUCUUCUUUUAGAUUCUAUAGGGAAGGAAUAAAAAUCACUUUCAUUGGCAGAGCACCGAAAUAGAUGUCACUUCUUGACUUCUAACUUUGCAUCUUUUAGCAAGUGACUUGACUUCCCUUGAACUUGGCUUCUCCAUUUGUUAACAAAAUACCUCAACAUUCAUUGUGCUUUCAGCUAUCUGAAAAAAUGUCUUUUAUGAAAGAAGAGUGUUUGUGUUUUAUAGCUUUCCAUUUGUGCAGCUUCCCAAUAUGGAUCUCAGAUGGGCCAUAUCUGUACAAUCAGGGAUUUUAAGUGUUACCCGUCCAUGUUUGCAUCUGGAUUUGACUAUGGGUUGCAAAACCUGGGUUUUUGUGCCAUGUGAAUAAUUAAGCACUUUAACAAUGGGAAUGAUGUUUAGAUUAUCAGAUACCCAAAUUCCUUUUGCUAACUGAGCUUUCCGUUCAAAGGGAAUCACACAACGUUGUGCAUAAGGCCUUGGGUCUGAGGCUCCCCUUGCUUCUGUGCAUAAAAGGCCCGGUGUUUACAUGUCUGUUGAGCAGUGCUGUGCUGGCGCUGGGAAGGAGGAGGGGUGUUAAUGGUGCUUGCUCAGCAUGAGCCUGCGCCAUCGCAUGUGCUUGUAUUAACAGAUUCUCAUGUGUCCUUGCUAUCGUACUGGUUAAUAACCGUGACACUGAGUUAGGUUUUAGUAUAGGAUCAUUGUGAAAAUUCUGGGCAGGGAGAUGC